rnacentral:rRNA from 1 species
AUGAACGCUGGCGGCGUGCCUCAUACAUGCAAGUCGCGCGAACAGACGAGGAGCCUGCUCCUCUGACGUUAGCGGCGGACGGGUGAGUAACACGUGGAUAACCUACCUAUAAGACUGGGAUAACUUCGGGAAACCGGAGCUAAUACCGGAUAAUAUAUUGAACCGCAUGGUUCAAUAGUGAAAGACGGUUUUGCUGUCACUUAUAGAUGGAUCCGCGCCGCAUUAGCUAGUUGGUAAGGUAACGGCUUACCAAGGCAACGAUGCGUAGCCGACCUGAGAGGGUGAUCGGCCACACUGGAACUGAGACACGGUCCAGACUCCUACGGGAGGCAGCAGUAGGGAAUCUUCCGCAAUGGGCGAAAGCCUGACGGAGCAACGCCGCGUGAGUGAUGAAGGUCUUCGGAUCGUAAAACUCUGUUAUUAGGGAAGAACAAAUGUGUAAGUAACUAUGCACGUCUUGACGGUACCUAAUCAGAAAGCCACGGCUAACUACGUG